AGACACAGCAAGUACCAUGAGGGAAAGAUGAAAAGGACUUUGAAAAGAGAGUUAAAAGUGCCUGAACUCGCUGAAAGGAAAGCGGAUGGAACCAGUCGUGCUUGGCGAGAUUGUUGCGUGCAAAGGUGACUGCUCACUGCUCGUAGCGUAAGCGCAGCAGCGGGUUUCGAUCUGGUCGCGCGCGAUGCUUCUUGCCUUGUUCGUCAUCGUUGGUUUGGAGGCGCGGACAACUCUUGGGACAUGGUAACUCGCCCACGGGCGAGCGAAUGUGCCUUGCAGAACUCACCUCCAAACUGAUGUCUCUUGUUAGGUUCUGUUGCCGUACGCGGCACGUUCUUGACAAAGCGUGGUGACAGAAUGGUUCUAUUCGACCCGUCUUGAAACACGGACCAAAGGAGUCUAACAUAUGUACAGUAACGUUACGGUUGGGUCGGAACCGUAAACUAGUGGUCGCGAACUAAGUAAGGUAAAGGUAGGUAGGUCGUCGUAGGAAGUAGUCGUUCGUUCGACUACUACGACGACGACCGGACCCCGAAACCUAACUAACUUAAGGGUUAGGGGAAGGUUUA
rnacentral:rRNA from 1 species